UUACAAAAAGCCGUAGUUGGUAGAACGCAGAUGUUGUGACUGAUUAUUGACGCUUUGACGGUGUCUGUUUUGUGAAAAGAUCAUCAAACAUUCUAGAGCUCUAAGACUCCAGCAGAGAUGAAGGAGUUACCCGCAUUGCAGGAGUCUUCUGAUGCAGUCAAGUUAGGUGCAGGUCUCGAGCUGUGUCAUCAUACAGCUGAAGACUGCAGGCAGAUGGAGCAUUCCUUGCCAAGUUGUGUCUUGGAAGCUGUGAAGAUUGAGCCUCGUGAUGAGCAGCAAUCAAACUGUGACUUGGGGCUCCCAGCUGGCUUCCUUGAAGUGGAGAAAGAGGAACCUUUC